UACGUAGGGUGCAAGCGUUAAUCGGAAUUACUGGGCGUAAAGCGUGCGCAGGCGGUUGUGCAAGACAGAUGUGAAAUCCCCGGGCUUAACCUGGGAACUGCAUUUGUGACUGCACGGCUGGAGUACGGUAGAGGGGAGUGGAAUUCCGCGUGUAGCAGUGAAAUGCGUAGAUAUGCGGAGGAGCACCGAUGGCGAAGGCAGCUCCCUGGACCUGUACUGACGCUCAUGCACGAAAGCGUGGGGAG
rnacentral:rRNA from 1 species